rnacentral:rRNA from 1 species
GACGAACGCUGGCGGCGUGCUUAACACAUGCAAGUCGAACGGAAAGGCCCUGCUUUUGUGGGGUGCUCGAGUGGCGAACGGGUGAGUAACACGUGAGUAACCUGCCCUUGACUUUGGGAUAACUUCAGGAAACUGGGGCUAAUACCGGAUAGGAGCUCCUGCUGCAUGGUGGGGGUUGGAAAGUUUCGGCGGUUGGGGAUGGACUCGCGGCUUAUCAGCUUGUUGGUGGGGUAGUGGCUUACCAAGGCUUUGACGGGUAGCCGGCCUGAGAGGGUGCCCGGCCACAGUGGGACUGAGAUACGGCAGAGACUCCUACGGGAGGCAGCAGGGGGGAAUAUUGCAAAAUGGGCGGAAGCCUGAUGGAGCAACGCCGCGUGCGGGAUGAGGGCUUUCGGGUUGUAAACCGCUUUCGCCUGUGACGAAGCGUGAGUGACGGUAAUGGGUAAAGAAGCACCGGCUAACUACGUG